rnacentral:lncRNA from 1 species
AUAUAUCUAUACAUUUAUAUAUAUGAUAUAAUUAUUCCGAACUACAGCUCCACCUCCAAAUGGGCUGAAAUUUUUUGUAAUGGUUUCUUAUGGUUACAGAGUAAUGUAAAUAAUAAUUUUAAGUUGGGGGAAGAAACGAGAAAAAAUUUAUAUACAAAAAAGAGUUUAAAAUGUAAUGAUUGUUUUCUGAUUAAUGUGGAAUGAAAGUCGUUCUCUCAAGGGUACAGACACGCACGCACGUACACACACGGGAAGGGUGCAAUGGAGACCGCACCCACCCCGUCGGUAAGAGUACCCUAAGUAGAAGUGUGCAAAAGUACGGUGCGUACUUUGUUGAGAAAUAACUGUAUGUUAGUUAAGUCAUAAUUUAUCAUCAACUUUUACGCACCGUACCCAGGUACGCAUAUCUAUCCAAAACACCCUUAUUGCAAAGGUGCGCGAGGAGGGUUGAAGGCCUCCCUGCACCCCCCGUGUGUUUGUAUCUCUGGAAGGACGAAUUUCAUCCCGCAUUAAUCAGAAAACAAUGAUACAUUUCUUAAUCUUUUUUAUUUAUAUCUUUAACAAAUAACGAGCGCCGAGUAAAACCUUUAUAACAUUACUCGGGAUGAUAACCUUGAUAAUAUAUGUCAAGGUCAUUGACAUCAGGAGGUGGUUAUUCUAAAUAAUUACCAUAAUUUGUUAGUAGUUUCUAAAUUUUCUAAAAAAGUUGUUGGUCUUAAGACUUGCAUUACAUUAGCGAGUAAGACAGUAAGAGAGACGAGCGAGAUGAGAAUAACAUUUUUUACAAGGAAGCCUGAUACGAUUCUUGAGUUUUCAGCAUGUUGUUAUUCUCAUUUCAGUAACUUUUGUUACUGUCCCAUUUGUUUUUGGUGAUCUCUUGCUUGCUCCUUUUACUGUUUUGCUCGUUUUUAUUGAAUGUCUCGUUUGCUCUUAUACCUUCUCGCACGCACAUAGGGGAACUUGGAGCAGAAAGGGAUAGCUGGAUAAAAUAGGACAGUACUAUUAUUUUUAUCAAAUUAUCUUACCAGAAGACAUAUAGAAACUAGAUAAAAAAACACAGACAAGACAUUAAAAGACAUGAAAGUAAUCAUUUUAUCAUUAAUAAGCAUUGGGUAUCGCAGAAUUAUGACUUCAAUUGGUCAACACCUGAAAUUUUACAUAAUGAAAAGAGAAAUCGCGGAGAUGUUUUUCAUAAAAAAACACUAUCAAUGCACAAAGAGACACGGAGAAUUUAAACUCCAUUUAUGACCGAAUCAUUAAGUCUGCUUAAUUGUAUCUAAACACAUUUAUUUCGUUACUUAUUUAUUUAUAUUACAUUCUGACAUUGCGCUUAAAAAUUUUUAUGUUUGUCAUUUGAAUCAGUCUCUUGUUGGGAGUUUAUUGUACUGGUCGUGAUUUUAACCGCAGUGAUUUUUCUCAUAAAAAACUUAUUUCACAUUUUUUAACGACUAACGUACAUAUAAUUUACUUUGACAAUGCAACAUUAUCACAAAGAUUGACUACAUCCAUGCAGAGACUCAUUGACUUACAUGACACACAAGCAUGUGAGUUACAGACACAUUACAUUAUCUAUUUUAUCAACAUCAUUUUAAAGAAAUAUGUUUUUAAUUUUGACUUCAUGAUUUAUUAGCACAAGUCAUGACGAAAAGGUUCCACGAAUGUUUUAUUUAUAAAUCUCUUUUAAGUUGAAUUUCCUACAUUAUAGUGAAGGCAGUUAUAAAGGAAAAUUCCGUUUAUCGUCAUUUAUUUUACAUACACAACAGUUUCGCUUCCUUACAUUUUACAUACAUUUAUUGUGAACUCUUUAUACGCUUAUGAAUCAUAUAUUUAUAUUUAUAGAGCUCACUUGAGAAGGACCUAAAACAAGGGUCGAAGUGUCGUGUUAAUUUUUAAUUAAUAAAUUAGCCAGUUAGGUCGUCCAAAAUAAUUCACUAUUGAUUUUUAUUCACUGGCGAAUUAAAUAUUACCUUUGGGAACUAUUAUUUUUAUUGCAUAAUGUCACAACCUUGCAGAAAAUCGUUACACUUAACAAAGUUGCUUCAGUUUUAUCACGAUCUGUUGAAGCAGUUCAAAUUUUUCGCACUAUGCAAUGAAAAUAAUAGUACUGUCCCAUUAUACUCCGCUAUUCUAUUCUGCUCCAGGUUCCUCUAUUACCAAAAAAUCAAUAAUUCUGUUACCGACAUUUUGUGUACAUAGCACGGAACAUAACCAAAAUGCAAUGCGUUGCGCAAAUGUAUGUUACUCUUUGACUCAAACAUGAAUGUAGGACGGAUGCACAACCAAAGAUUUUAUUGACAGCAUCAAAAAGUAGAUGUGGAGUCGCAAGGAUUGGUAUUGGCCAGAAAAUGGUUCCACUAAUGGGGAACCUUGCUAAUCAAGAA